AGCGCCACAAGUGGCAAUCCUGUUUAUUGGGCCUAAAGCGUUCGUAGCCGGUUUUGUAAAUUCUCUGUGAAAUUGUAUUGCUUAACUUUACAACGUGCAGGGAAGACUGCAAAACUAGAGACCGGGAGGAGCUUGGAGUAUUCUUGGGGGAGCGGUAAAAUGUUAUAAUCCCUUGAAGACUACCUGUGGCGAAGGCGCCAAGCUAGAACGGUUCUGACGGUGAGGGACGAAAGCCAGGGGAGCGAUCC
rnacentral:rRNA from 1 species